UUGAAGAGUUGCUGCAAGAAA
rnacentral:siRNA from 1 species